GGGAGAAGUUAUAUCGCUGUAUG
rnacentral:miRNA from 1 species